UGAGGGCCGCUUUUUUUAGGUGCUGCAGCACGCUGCAGUUAAACGGGAAUCUGGUUAAAGCCAGAGCUGCCCCCGCAACGGUAAACAACUAUCAAGGCUUUAAAAACCACUGUCAUUUGAUGGGAAGGUAAAGCAUUGGCGCAAGCAGGUUGUAAGCCCGGAGACCGGCCUAAAAAGUCGAUUAACC
rnacentral:ncRNA from 2 species